UACGUAGGGGGCAAGCGUUGUCCGGAUUUAUUGGGCGUAAAGGGCGCGUAGGCGGCCAGCGCAAGUCAGUUGUGAAAUCUCCGGGCUUAACUCGGAACGGUCAACUGAUACUGCGCGGCUAGAGUGCAGAAGGGGCAACUGGAAUUCUCGGUGUAGCGGUGAAAUGCGUAGAUAUCGAGAGGAACACCUGCGGCGAAGGCGGGUUGCUGGGCUGACACUGACGCUGAUGCGCGAAAGCCAGGGGAGCGAACGGG
rnacentral:rRNA from 1 species